rnacentral:lncRNA from 1 species
AAGAGAAAUGUGUGUAUAAGAUAGAACUUACAGCGUUGACUGUACUGUAGCAGGCAGCUACUUAAUGGAAUUCCACUGAAGUACUUGUUUUAGGCAAAUAUAUUUGUUUCAGGGGAAAGCAGAGGGUUUCUAUUUGGAGAAUUAAAGUUCUGUUUUAUUGAGAAAGCAUAGUUGUGCGUCACACAAAUUCUAUCUUCCCAUCUCUGUUGUUGUUUGUUUGUAUGACAAAACGAAAAGCAAGUCUUGGUCAAAAAGUGACAUUUUAAUUAUUUUCAUCGUGUCUACCGACAAUACAUCAUAUGACAUUACCGCGAAAUUUCCUGGAAGCUUCAAUUGUAUAAAAUACAAGGGACUAAAUCUAAAAACGUCUAUUAGAAGUAGAUUUCUGAGUCAUUUCCAUUAAAUAUAAUUGUAACAUUUGUAAGAUUACGAUGAUUCUUUUUUGGAUGCUCAUGGUCAUGAAGGCCAUUAUAUUUGAUCUUAAAAAUUUAGUACAAAAUAAGUGACAAGAUUUCUUCAAAAUGAUGGGCUUAUUGCAAAAGUGAAAUGUGAAUGUCAAAAUUUUAUAAACUAACUUGAUGAAAUGAAAAUGCCAAUGAAUGACCUUAUUAUUUGUGGGGAAUGCAUUUAUUGUGUAUAUGUUGAAAAUGGUGGCCGACCAUAUUACUAAACUUGGUAAAUUUUGUCAAAGGGACAGCAAUUUGCUUGACAAUAGCAAAUUGUGCACCAAUAAAAUAAUGGACGUUGUUGUGACAUGGAUCAUCAUGUUGUGUCUUGACGGAGACUUGAGGUAAACUUGGUAGAGUCCUGACGGUAUUGAUGCAGGAAUCUGAUCGAUGGAACUACGACCAGGCUAUCUGCGCCAACGUUUAAAUUUUGUUUGCUAGGGAGCUGAUUCAGUGCGACGGCUAUCGCACUCGAGUAGAUAGCUUCAACCAAAACUCGCUAAGUUGAAUCACCUAUACUCACAAUAUCCAAUUAGAGCGGCACCAAAAAUUUUUUGGCAAAAAUCCUCCACGCUCAUGUCAGUAAUUGGGUCUCUUUUAGAAAAACUUGUAUCACAAACUCAUUACUUAAUUAUAUCAGUUGAAAGUUAGAAAUCUUAAUUCUCAAAACGAAGAAAAAUAAAUAGAGAGAAUUAUCGAGAGAGAAAAUAUGGAAAUAAAAAAAAAAAAUUUGUCCAGCCCUUUUUACCUCCAUUCUCCGUAGCUUUUAUACCCAACCUGAACCAUCGACUCCAUCUUCCCCACGAUUACUGUUGGCUUGGAAGUGAAAAGGUGCGUGCUGCGUCUUUGAAAUCAUGGGUCAAUGGACAAUGUAACUGCCGCUGAAUGGGCUUUGUGCCCGAGUUUCUUGGAGACAAACUACGUGUUGGCCUUUGAUCAAGCCUUCGAUCUGACUCGAUUUUGGUCUCUCCUCUCAUGGCCUGAGGUCUAUUAUCUAGUACUCGUACGACCAGUAUUCAGAUUUUUUUGAUACAAGCAGUGGUCAAUAGAGUCAACUAAGAUAAAACUUAAAUUUCCCGCCCAAAAAAAAAAACUAACAUACAUAAAGAAUUUGAAUCAUCCUUCAAUAAUAACAUAAAUAGCAACUACUGAGUCUAGUAAUUUGAUCAUUUCUGUAUUUGUCAAUGCAUUAUGGAUUCUAAGACCAGGCUCUAAAAUCAGCAAAUCCAAAAAUUGUUGAUAAUAUUACUUAGUAAGGUUACGAAUCCAUCCGCAAGACAGCUGUAAAUAGUCAUAUACCCUGAGGUAUGAACUUUUUAUAUGAUUAAUAAAGGAUAAGAGCAUAUUC